GUCCGUCUGGCCGAGCAGUCUAAAUCGCUGCGUUCAGGUCGCAGUCUACUUCGGUAUGCGCAGGUUCGAAUCCUGCGGCGGACA
rnacentral:tRNA from 1 species